AGGAGGAAAAUGAUCAUAGAAAUGCCUAAUGGUUGUAAAAAAAAAAUUCAAACUACUGCAAAAACAACAGGUAAAGGCUUUUACUGACAUUAGUGUACAUUAGUGUAAACUUGGAAAUUUAUAAUGAAGGCUUGAAUAUAAUAGAAAAGAGCAUUAACGAUUUUAAAGUGAGAUUAAACUUUCAAGAGGGAUUAAUCGGCCAAAAAGAUGACUCUAACUUUUAAAACAAAGGGUUAUUUUGAAAUUACCCAGAUACAAAAUAAAAUAAGAGAUCGAUGACGAUUCAAAACAUAAUAAAUUAACAACUGAUGGACUUAAUGAAGAUGAAGGCUGGAAAAUACAGUUACGAGAAGAUAUUAAUUAAACCUUGGUCGAUUUUCUUUGAAAGAAUUCAUAUAAAUUACCUGAAAAUUCUUCUGUUACAAAUUACACUAACAUAGAGGUUAUUCGAAGAAGGAUCAACCUGUAAUUUAUUCGUUCCUCCGCCGGAGAUAUUUUUUUGACGAGUUGGAGUACUUGGUUGCGAAGAACGUAUAUUUGCAUUUAAUUUUCUGCCAGACGAACGAGCCCAAGUUCGCAUUCUGUAAAAACAAUCAUAUAUUAAAAAAUAAAAAUAGCUUAAAUUUAAUAAGAAUUCAAUUAUUAUAUUCAGUGCCAUGUCUAGUGGGUAGGAACAACCCUGAAACCUGUUAGGUUUCCACCAUAUUAAUAAAAAAAUUUUAUGGUAAAAAAAAAAAAAAAAAAAAAAAGCCUAAACUUCCUGGCCAACCACGGCACUGAUUAUAUUAAAUAUUUUAAAAAUAAAUUAAAGAAAAAAAAAGUAAUAUAUAAAUAUUUGCUUAUAUAAAUCUGGAAUUAGUAUGACAAAAUUAAAAAUAUUUUGUUUUGUUACAA